rnacentral:rRNA from 1 species
CGCCGCGUGAGCGAUGAAGGCCUUCGGGUCGUAAAGCUCUGUUGUUAGGGAAGAACAAGUACCGGAGUAACUGCCGGUACCUUGACGGUACCUAACCAGAAAGCCACGGCUAACUACGUGCCAGCAGCCGCGGUAAUACGUAGGUGGCAAGCGUUGUCCGGAAUUAUUGGGCGUAAAGCGCGCGCAGGCGGUCCUUUAAGUCUGAUGUGAAAGCCCACGGCUCAACCGUGGAGGGUCAUUGGAAACUGGGGGACUUGAGUACAGAAGAGGAAAGCGGAAUUCCACGUGUAGCGGUGAAAUGCGUAGAGAUGUGGAGGAACACCAGUGGCGAAGGCGGCUUUCUGGUCUGUAACUGACGCUGAGGCGCGAAAGCGUGGGGAGCAAACAGGAUUAGAUACCCUGGUAGUCCACGCCGUAAACGAUGAGUGCUAAGUGUUAGAGGGUUUCCGCCCUUUAGUGCUGCAGCUAACGCAUUAAGCACUCCGCCUGGGGAGUACGGCCGCAAGGCUGAAACUCAAAGGAAUUGACGGACCCC